rnacentral:rRNA from 1 species
UACGGGGGGGGCAAGCGUUGUUCGGAAUUACUGGGCGUAAAGGGCUCGUAGGUGGCCAACUAAGUCAGACGUGAAAUCCCUCGGCUUAACCUGGGAACUGCAUCCGAUACUGGAUGGCUUGAAUCCGGGAGAGGGAUGCGGAAUUCCAGGUGUAGCGGUGAAAUGCGUAGAUAUCUGGAGGAACACCGGUGGCGAAGGCGGCAUCCUGGACCGGCAUUGACGCUGAGGAGCGAAAGCCAGGGGAGCAAACGGG